rnacentral:lncRNA from 1 species
UAGCUCAAUUGUUAAAUGAGGAGGGACAUAAAUUGCAAAUAACCCCAAAAUGAGAUAUUUUGGGUGGCAAUAGCUGAGAAAAAUCAGGAGAAUUGAAGAAUUAAGGGUAAAAUUGGAAUACUGCAAAAAUUUACUUUAAAAGUUAGGACUAAAGUGGAAUAUCUAGAAUUCUCUUCAUAUUUUCUGCACUCUCAUCAUCCAAAAAUGUCCUAAGGGUUUCUUCAAGCUGGUUUUUCAUAAUUUUUGCACCAAAUCCAGAAAGUUCAAAUACGAAGCUAGAUCGAGGAAAUGAAAAAGUUCGGGAUUAGUAGAUUUUUUGUUUACGAACAAGUAUCGAGGUAAGUUCGUGUAACUUGAAUUAUAUUCCUAAAUGCUUGAAAUGUUUGUUAUUGAUGUGAAUAUGAUUUGGAUGUUUAUUGUAUGAUAAUUGAUGAAGUAUUGAUAUUCUUGAUGAAAAGAGGAAAUAAAUCUCGGUUGAAUGAAAGGAAAAUUCAAUGGAUCUCUGAAAAGAAAUUGACGGUAAAAAGGAUCUAGCCCGGACGGGUGAUCCUAUUCUGAUAUAGCCCUCACGAAGAAUAUGUGGAAAAUAGAUUUAGCCCGGAUGGGUAAUCCGAAUUAGGGUCUGAAUUUAGCCUGGACUGGUAAUUCAGAUCCAAGCUCAUUAGAGUAAUUGUCGUUGCAGGGGAUUUAGCCUGGACUGGUAAUCCCGACAAUACUCUAUGAGUUUAUAUUACAGGGGAUUUAGCCUGGACUGGUAAUCCCGCUGUAAGGAUGAGGUUCGCAGGAGUGUGCUCUCUGAAAUGGAAAUGUGUGCACAUGAAUAUGAAUUGACGGACCCAGAAUAUGUACACUUAGGUGUACCCCUGAAAAUCCAUCGAAAUUUCAAGUAGUUCAACGGGAUAAAUAUAGAAAAAUAACAAGGAAAUGGAAAUCAUGGAAUUGAUGAGCUCAUCAAUCAUGAUAUAUAUUAUUGAUACGUAGAAAUUAUUGGACUAAUUUGAAUGUUGAGUUUGUGCAUGAUAGGGGAAUAAUGUAUUGAAUGGAUGUAUGAAUGUUUAUUGCAUUCUAUAAAAAAAUAUUAGGUAAGCAUAAUUCCUGUUACAUGAGCUUACUAAUCACAAAGUGCUUACCCUGUUUCUUUUUCCCCUGUUUGUAGAGUUAAGAGCUCGGAGGUCAGAUUUGGUCAGAGACACAUCACAUUAUCAACCUCAAGAUCUCGGUACAUAAAGAAACUUUAUUUUGGAAAUCAAUGGCAUGUAUAAGCUAGUAAAGUAAAUGUUAAUGUGGAAUGAAUGUAUGGUUAGCCAUUAAUAUGGCUAACAAAUUUUUGUUUUGGUAUGUGAUAAGAUUAUCUUAAGAAUACGGUAAAUCUAUCUUGAAAAUAUUUUGAAAUGGAUUGGUUCGGUUGGAUUGGUCUCGGUUUUAAAAUUUUAGGGAAGAGUAGAUAUUUAAAAACGGGUUAUAUUGAGUAAAAAAAUUAUUCAGUAAAAUCUGGUAAUACCUCGUAUCCUAUUUCGACGACGGAUACGGGUAGGGGGUGUUACAUUUAUUGGUAUCAGAGCUACGGUUUAACCGGUUCUCGGGCCGACGUAGCAAAUAUGAUAUUAGCUAUACAUGCCAUUUGAAUUAUUAUUGAUAGUGUGAUAUCUCCUGACCAUUUGAAAUGUGAUUUUCUUAUAGUAACUAUCUACCGACCGAGCUCAACCCGAGGAAGCGGAGAGUCAUGCUCCGGCUUCAGAACAUAGAGAAGUUGAAGCUAUUAGUAGUAGAAGGUCCGAGACAAGGGACCAAGGUGAAUAGGUUAAAAUGGCCUUCUAUCAAAUGAUGAAUGAAUGGUUAGCUCAGUAUAUAAGAACUAACCCUGUAGUGCAGCAAGCUCAAGCUCCUCCUCCCCCUCCCCCUCCUCCACCAAUUCCCGAGAUUCCACAGGGUACAGGUACUGAAUCUAUCAGAAAAGGGAAAGCUCCGGUUGAUAAAAUCAAAAAAUAUGGGCAGAAGAAUUCAGAGCUGCAGUUGAUGAUGAUCCCGAACGGGCUGAGUUUUGGUUAGAGAAUACUAUUCGGGUUUUGGAGGAAUUAUCUUGCACACUAGAAGAGUGUCUAAAAUGUACAGUAUCAUUGCUAAAAGAUACAGCUUACCAUUGGUGGAAUACUAAAGUUUCAGUUGUUCCGAAAGAAGAAAUCACAUGGAAAUUCUUUCAGACCGAGUUCAGAAAGAAAUAUAUCAGUCAGAGGUUCCUUGAUCAGAAGAGAAAAGAAUUUCUUGAGCUAAAACAGGGCAACAGAUCGGUAUCUGAGUAUGAAAGAGAAUUUGUCCGAUUAAGCAAAUAUGCUCGAAAAUGGGUAAAAUUAGAAGCCGAGAUGUGCAAACGAUUUGAAGAAGGGUUGAAUGAAGAGAUUAAGCUACUGAUCGGAAUUAUUGAAAUCUGAGAGUUUGCUAUCCUUGCAGAGCGAGCUUAUAAAGCAGAAGAACUGAGCAAAGAAAAGAAACAAGCUGAAAGUGAAGCUCAGGUUUUCAGUAAAAGAUCAAUGGAAAAAUCCCAGUUUUCUGCUUCAAAGAAAUUGAAGAAAUACCAGGAUCGUUCUACCUCAAAUACUAGGUAUUCGGGUAAAGAGCAAGGUUUUCAACGCACUAAUCCAAGACCUUCCACUCCAUUAGUGACCAGUGUUGGCAGUGUUGGCACCCCUAAGCCGAGAUGCCAGUACUGUAAUAAACCUCACUUUGGUGAAUGCCGAUUAAAGAGCGGGGCUUGUUACCGAUGUGGUUCUUUUGAUCAUUUCCUCAGAGAUUGUCCAGAAAGUGGUGAAAAAGAAGCUGAACAGACAUCGAGGCCGAGUAAUCCAGUUUCGAGGGGUAGGCCACCUCGACCAUCUGGUGAUGUCGGUGGUAGUCGAGGAGCUACAAGAGAUACUGCAGGCAGGCCUGAGGCAUGAGCACCUGUUAGGACAUAUGUCAUAUGUACUAGAGAAGAUGCUUCAGCACCUGAUGUUAUUACUGGUACAUUUUCUUUACUUGAUACUGAUAUUACUGCAUUGAUUGAUUCUGGUUCUAAACAUUCAUACAUAUGCACAAAAUUAGUAUUUGUUAAAAAUUUAUCUGUUGAACCUACUGAAUUUGUGGUUAAAGUCUCGAACCCCCUAGGCCAGUUUGUGAUGGUGGAUAAAGUUUGUAAAAAUUGUCCACUGAUGGUAAAAGGUAUUUGUUUUUCGGCUAACUUGAUGUUACUUCCUUUUGAUGAGUUCGAUGUGAUACUGGGUAUGGACUGGCUAACUCAGCAUGAUGCAGUAGUAAACUGUAGACAGAAAUAUAUUAUAUUGAAGUGUCAGAAUGGAGAAUUACUUCGGGUUAAAUCUAAUCAGACAGAGAAAUUAUCUAAUGUGAUUUCAGUGAUGACAGCUCAGAGGUGUAUUAGAAAAGGGUGUGAUGCUUAUUUGGCAUAUGUGUUAGACACUAAGGUCUCUGAGUCAAAGAUCCAGGCAGUGCCAAGUGUAUGUGAAUUUUCUGAUGUGUUUCCAGAGGAAUUACCGAGGUUGCCACCAUAAAGAGAAGUGGAAUUUUCUAUAGAAUUGAUUCCGGGAACUACUCCAAUCUCCAUAUCUCCGUAUCAUAUGGCUCCUACAGAAUUAAAGGAGUUAAAGACACAGUUGCAAGAACUUGUUGACAGGGGUUUUGUUCGAUCGAGUCAUUCACCUUGGGGUGCUCCGGUUCUAUUUGUGAAGAAGAAUGACGGGUCUUUGAGAUUGUGUAUCGACUACCGACAGCUCAACAAAGUCACUAUAAAGAAUAAGUAACCAUUGCCUCAGAUUGAUGACCUGUUUGACCAAUUGAAGGGUGCCACUGUAUUUUCAAAGAUUGAUCUCCGAUCGGGUUAUUGUCAGUUACGGGUAAAAGAGUCAGAUGUACCAAAAACAGCUUUUAGAACCAGGUAUGAGCAUUAUGAGUUUCUGGUUAUGCCGUUUGGGCUGACUAAUGCACCUGCAGUAUUUAUGGACUUGAUGAAUCGGAUAUUCAGACCGUACUUAGACAGGUUUGUGGUAGUUUUUAUUGAUGAUAUCUUGGUCUAUUCUCGAGACGAAAAUGAGCAUGCAAAACAUUUGAGAAUUGUGUUGCAAAUUCUACGAGAGAAGAAGCUAUAUGCUAAAUUUAGUAAAUGUGAAUUUUGGCUUCGAGAAGUGGGUUUUCUCGGACAUAUUGUAUCUGCAGAAGGCAUCAGGGUAGAUCCGAGUAAAAUCUCAGCUAUUAUUAAUUGGAGUCCACUGAAAAAUGUAUCUGAAGUUAGAAGUUUCUUGGGGUUAGCUGGUUAUUAUCGAAGAUUUGUACAGGAGUUUUCUAUGAUAGCUACUCCGAUGACCCGUUUAUUACAAAAAGAUGUUAAAUUCGAGUGGACUGAUGAAUGCCAGCAGAGUUUCGACCGAUUGAAAGAUUUGUUGACGAAAGCACCAGUGUUGGUACAACCUGAACCAGGUAAAGAAUUUAUUAUCUAUAGUGAUGCAUCAUUAAAUGGUUUAGGUUGUGUUUUGAUGCAAGAAGGUAAAGUUAUAGCCUAUGCUUCGAGACAACUUAAGCCACAUGAAAGAAAUUACUCGGUGCAUGAUCUUGAAUUAGCUGCUAUUGUAUUUGCAUUAAAAAUAUGGCGACAUUACUUGUAUAUUGAGAAAUGUCAUAUUUAUACUGAUCAUAAAAGUCUAAAAUAUCUGAUGACACAGAAAGAUUUGAAUUUGAGACAGCGUAGGUGGCUUGAAUUGAUAAAAGACUAUGAUUUGGUUAUUGAUUACCAUCCGAGUAAGGCUAAUGUUGUAGCUGAUGCUCUGAGCCGAAAAUCUCUGUUUGUUUUGCGAGCAAUGAAUGCCCAAUUGUCUUUGGUUGAUGACGGUUCAGUCGUAGCUGAGUUGAGAGUUAAACUGACAUUUCUACAACAAAUAUAUGAAACUCAGAAAAAUGAUGAGAAGCUACAGGCUAAACGGGUACAAUGUGAGUCAGGUAAUGAUUCAAAAUUUCAGAUUAGGAUUAAUGGUUGUUUAUUAUUCAGAGGUAGAGUAUGUGUACCGAAGAAUUCAGAGCUUGUAUAGAAGAUUUUACACAAGGCACACAGUGGCAUUAUGUCUGUACAUCCGGGAGGUAAUAAAAUGUAUAAUGAUUUGAAGAAGAUGUACUGGUGGCCAGGUAUGAAACGCGAUAUUUCUGAGUUUGUAUCAAGAUGUCUGAUAUGUCAACAGGUCAAAGCUGAACAUCAGGUACCUUCGGGGUUACUUCAGCCAAUCACUGUACCGGAAUAGAAGUGGGAAAGAAUUACUAUGGAUUUUGUGUCCGGAUUACCAUUGUCACCGAAGAAGAAAGAUGCCAUUUGGGUGAUCGUUGAUCGAUUAACAAAAUCAGCACAUUUUAUCCCGGUACGUAUGGAUUAUUCUCUAGAUAAAUUGGCUGAACUGUAUAUAUCUUAGAUUGUCAGGCUACAUGGAGUGCCAAUCUCUAUUAUAUCAUAUAGAUAUCCUCGAUUUACAUCUCGUUUCUGGGACAAAUUGCAAGAAGCCUUGGGUACUUAGUUGUAUUUCAGCAUUGCAUUUCAUCCUCAGAUAGAUGGCCAAUCUGAGUGUGUAAUUCAGAUAUUGGAAGAUAUGCUCCGAUGUUGUAUAUUAGAGUUUGAACGUAAUUGGGAAAGGUAUCUACCUUUGAUUGAAUUUGCUUACAAUAACAGUUAUCAGUUCAGUAUUAAAAUGGCUCCGUAUGAAGCUUUGUAUGGUAGAAAUUGUAGAACACCGUUAUAUUGGACAGAGCUCAAUGAAAAGAAGAUACAUGGGGUUGAUUUGGUUCGGGAAACAGAAGAAAAAGUCAAUGUGAUUCGAGAUAGUCUAAAAGCAGCUUCCGAUCGUCAGAAGUCAUAUGCUGAUCUUAAACGAAAAGAGAUUGAAUUUCAAGUGGGUGAUAAGGUAUUCUUAGAAGUGUCUCCUUGGAAGAAAGUUCUCCGAUUCAGUCGAAAGGGUAAAUUGAGUCCAAGAUUUAUAUGAAAUCAUAGAAAGAAUUGGACCGGUCGCUUAUCGAUUGGCGUUACCACCGGAACUCGAUAGAAUUCAUAAUGUUUUUCAUGUAUCUAUGCUACGACGGUAUCGAUCAGAUCCUUCACAUGUUAUUUCUCCGACAGAAGUGAAAAUUUAGCCGGAUAUGACUUACAAUGAAGAACCGGUCAAUAUAUUGGCACGGGAAACAAAGGAGCUUAGAAAUAAAAAGAUAAAUUUGGUGAAAGUAUUAUGGCAAAAACACGGGAUAGAGGAAGCGACAUGGGAAUCGGAGGAGGCAAUGAGGAAACAAUACCCGAACCUCUUUACUGGUAAGAUUUUCGAGGACGAAAAUCCUUAAGGGGGAGAGUUGUAAUGGCCCAAAUUCAAGGCUAUCGAAAUAGUGGUUUCGUAACCAAAAAUCUGAUUUAAAGAGAAAUUUAUUUUAAUAUUUUUGCAUGAAUAUUGGUAUGAUAGGAAAAUCGUAUGAAAAUAUUGAUAGAAAAAUUUUACCGAUUUAGUGGUUAGUUAGAAAAAGAAAGUAUUGAAGAAAUUGGGUAAAAAUAAGGUAUCGAGACCUCGAUCUCAUAAAAUCAAGUCAAAUAUUUUUAUAAAUAUUUAUGAAGUGUUAGUAAAAUGGUAUUAAAAUUUCGUUAGAAAAUUUUAAUGUUUGGGUAGUCAAUUAAGUAAAAAGGACUAAAUUGAAAAAGGUGUAAAAGUUACUAGAAGGAUUAAAUAGCUCAAUUGUUAAAUGAGGAGGGACAUAAAUUGCAAAUAACCCUAAAAUGAGAUAUUUUGGGCGGCAAUAACAGAGAAAAAUCAGGAGAAUUGAAGAAUUAAGGGUAAAAUUGGAAUAUUGCAAAAAUUUGCUUUAAAAGUUAGGACUAAAGUGGAAUAUCUAGAAUUCUCUUCAUAUUUUCUGCACUCUCAUCAGCCAAAAAUGUCCUAAGGGUUUCUUCAAGCUGGUUUUUCAUAAUUUUUGCACCAAAUCCAGAAAGUUCAAAUACGAAGCUAGAUCGAGGAAAAGAAAAAGUUCGGGAUUAGUAGAUUUUUUGUUUACGAACAAGUAUCGAGGUAAGUUCGUGUAACUUGAAUUAUAUUCCUAAAUGCUCGAAAUGUUUGUUAUUGAUGUGAAUAUGAUUUGGAUGUUUAUUGUAUGAUAAUUGAUGAAGUAUUGAUAUUCUUGAUGAAAAGAGGAAAUAAAUCUCGGUUGAAUGAAAGGAAAAUUCAAUGGAUCUCUGAAAAGGAAUUGACAGUAAAAAGGAUCUAGCCCGGACGGGUGAUCCUAUUCUGAUAUAGCCCUCCCGAAGAAUAUGUGGAAAAUGGAUUUAGCCCGGACGGGUAAUCCGAAUUAAGGUCUGAAUUUAGCCUGGACUGGUAAUUCAGAUCCAAGCUCAUUAGAGUAAUUGUCGUUGCAGGGGAUUUAGCCUGGACUGGUAAUCCCGACAAUACUCUAGGAGUUUAUAUUACAAGGGAUUUAGCCUGGACUGGUAAUCCCGCUGUAAGGAUGAGGUUCGCGAGAGUGUGCUCUCUGAAAUGGAAAUGUGCGCACAUGAAUAUGAAUUGACGGACCCGGAAUUUGUACUCUUAGGUGUACCCCUGAAAAUCCAUCGAAAUUCCAAGUAGUUCAACGGGAUAAAUAUGGAAAAAUAACAUGGAAAUGGAAAUCAUGGAAUUGAUGAGCUCAUCAAUCAUGAUAUAUAUUAUUGACAUGUGGAAAUUAUUGGACUAAUUUGAAUGUUGAGUUUGUGCAUGAUAGGGGAAUAAUGUAUUGAAUGGAUGUAUGAAUGUUUAUUGCAUUCUAUAAAAAAAUUAUUAGGUAAGUAUAAUUCUUGUUACAUGAGCUUACUAAGCACAAAGUGCUUACCCUGUUUCUUUUUCCCCUGUUUGUAGAGUUAAGAGCUCGGAGGUCGGAUUUGGUCAGAAACACAUCACACUAUCAACCUCAAGAUCUCGGUACAUAAAGAAACUUUAUUUUGGAAAUCAAUAGCAUGUAUAAGCUAGUAAAGUAGAUGUUAAUGUGGAAUGAAUGUAUGGUUAGCCAUUAAUAUGGCUAACAAAUUUUUGUUUUGGUAUGUGAUAAGAUUAUCUUAAGAAUACGGUAAAUAUAUCUUGAAAAUAUUUUGAAAUGGAUUGGUUGGGUUGGAUUGGUCUCGGUUUUAAAAUUUUAGGGAAGAGUAGAUAUUUAUAAACGGGUUAUAUUGAGAAAAAAAAUUUAUUCAGUAAAAUCUGGUAAUACCUCGUAUCCUAUUCCGGCGACGGAUACGGGUAGGGGGUGUUACAAAAUCUAAUAGGAAG